rnacentral:rRNA from 1 species
CCUACGGGGGGCAGCAGUGGGGAAUAUUUUUCAAUUUUCUCAAUCCUUACCCCUCAACUCCUCUUUCAUUCAUAAUUCUUUCGGGUUGUAAACUUCUUUUCAUAGUGAAGAUCAUAAGACGGUACCUCUUGAAUAAGCCACGGCUAACUACGUGCCAGCAGCCGCGGUAAUACGUAUGGUGCAAGCGUUAUCCGGAUUUACUGGGUGUAAAGGGAGCGCAGGCGGCACGGCAAGCCUGAUGUGAAAUCCCGCGUCCCAACCGCGGGACUGCAUUGGGAACUACCGGGCUGGAGUGCCGGAGCGGG